rnacentral:rRNA from 1 species
GUACACAAAAAUGCACAUAUUGUGAGCUCGAUGAGUAGGGCGGGACACGUGGUAUCCUGUCUGAAUAUGGGGGGACCAUCCUCCAAGGCUAAAUACUCCUGACUGACCGAUAGUGAACCAGUACCGUGAGGGAAAGGCGAAAAGAACCCCGGCGAGGGGAGUGAAAAAGAACCUGAAACCGUGUACGUACAAGCAGUGGGAGCCUCUUAAUGGGGUGACUGCGUACCUUUUGUAUAAUGGGUCAGCGACUUAUAUUCUGUAGCAAGGUUAACCGAAUAGGGGAGCCGAAGGGAAACCGAGUCUUAACUGGGCGUUAAGUUGCAGGGUAUAGACCCGAAACCCGGUGAUCUAGCCAUGGGCAGGUUGAAGGUUGGGUAACACUAACUGGAGGACCGAACCGACUAAUGUUGAAAAAUUAGCGGAUGACUUGUGGCUGGGGGUGAAAGGCCAAUCAAACCGGGAGAUAGCUGGUUCUCCCCGAAAGCUAUUUAGGUAGCGCCUCGUGAAUUCAUCUCCGGGGGUAGAGCACUGUUUCGGCAAGGGGGUCAUCCCGACUUACCAACCCGAUGCAAACUGCGAAUACCGGAGAAUGUUAUCACGGGAGACACACGGCGGGUGCUAACGUCCGUCGUGAAGAGGGAAACAACCCAGACCGCCAGCUAAGGUCCCAAAGUCAUGGUUAAGUGGGAAACGAUGUGGGAAGGCCCAGACAGCCAGGAUGUUGGCUUAGAAGCAGCCAUCAUUUAAAGAAAGCGUAAUAGCUCACUGGUCGAGUCGGCCUGCGCGGAAGAUGUAACGGGGCUAAACCAUGCACCGAAGCUGCGGCAGCGACACUAUGUGUUGUUGGGUAGGGGAGCGUUCUGUAAGCCUGUGAAGGUGGCCUGUGAGGG